rnacentral:rRNA from 1 species
AGAGUUUGAUCCUGGCUCAGGACGAACGCUGGCGGCGCGCCUAACACAUGCAAGUCGAACGGUGAAGAGGAGCUUGCUCCUCGGAUCAGUGGCGGACGGGUGAGUAACACGUGAGCAACCUGGCUCUAAGAGGGGGACAACAGUUGGAAACGACUGCUAAUACCGCAUAACGUAUCGGGAUGGCAUCUUCCUGAUACCAAAGAUUUUAUCGCUUAGAGAUGGGCUCGCGUCUGAUUAGAUAGUUGGCGGGGUAACGGCCACCAAGUCGACGAUCAGUAGCCGGACUGAGAGGUUGAACGGCCACAUUGGGACUGAGACACGGCCCAGACUCCUACGGGAGCA